rnacentral:rRNA from 1 species
AAAACUCUUCUGUGUACCUAUUACUUGUUGCUUCCCUGGGGUAACUCAGGGAAGGCAUACAUAUACUCUGUUUAUUGUAGUCAGUCUGAAUUUGUUUAUUUAUAAACGUUAAAACUUUCAACAACGGAUCUCUUGGUUCUCGCAUCGAUGAAGAACGCAGCGAAAUGCGAUAAGUAGUGUGAAUUGCAGAAUUCAGUGAAUCAUCGAAUCUUUGAACGCACAUUGCGCCCUCUGGUAUUCCGGGGGGCAUGCCUGUUCGAGCGUCAUCAAAACUACUCAAGCUAAGGUUUACCUUCUGCUUGGUCUUGGAAUUGGAGGCUUAUGUCUCCUUUCUGAAAUACAGUGGCGAAUUGACUGUGCUGUAAACGUAGUAACUUUACCCGUUGAAAGCAUGUUCACAUUCCGCCAAAACCCCCUCUAUUAUCUAGUUUGACCUCGGAUCAGGUAGGGAUACCCGCUGAACUUAAGCAUAUCAAUAAGCGGAGGAAAAGAAACCAACAGGGAUUGCCUUAGUAACUGCGAGUGAAGCGGCAAAAGCUCAAAUUUGAAAUCUGGGGCCUCACAGCCUCCGAAUUGUAAUUUCACGAUACGUUUUCGACUGAAGGCUCUGCUUUAAGUUCCUUGGAACAGGACGUCACAGAGGGUGAGAAUCCCGUGAUAGGUGGAGCCUGAUGCAUAUGAUACGUAUUCAACGAGUCGAGUUGUUUGGGAAUGCAGCUCAAAAUGGGAGGUAAAUUUCUUCUAAAGCUAAAUAUUGGCGAGAGACCGAUAGCGCACAAGUAGAGUGAUCGAAAGAUGAAAAGCACUUUGAAAAGAGAGUUAAAAAGUACGUGAAAUUGUUGAAAGGGAAGCGCUUGAGACCAGACUCAAUCUGUAGUGAUCAAUUUGGCUUCUGUCAGAUGCACUUGCUACUUAUUGGGA